rnacentral:rRNA from 1 species
AGUGAACGCUGGCGGUAGGCCUAACACAUGCAAGUCGAACGGCAGCACAGUAAGAGCUUGCUCUUACGGGUGGCGAGUGGCGGACGGGUGAGGAAUACAUCGGAAUCUACUUUUUCGUGGGGGAUAACGUAGGGAAACUUACGCUAAUACCGCAUACGACCUACGGGUGAAAGCAGGGGAUCUUCGGACCUUGCGCGAUUGAAUGAGCCGAUGUCGGAUUAGCUAGUUGGCGGGGUAAAGGCCCACCAAGGCGACGAUCCGUAGCUGGUCUGAGAGGAUGGGCGGCCACAUGGGAAGUGGAACAGGGACAAGAGUCCUGCGGGAGGCAGCAGUGGGGAAUGUUAGGCAACGGGGGCAAGCCUGGUCCAGCCAUCCGGAGUGGGAGAAAAAGGCCUUCUGUUUGUAAAGACGUUUUGUUGGGAAAAAAAAGCAGCCGGUUAAUACCCCGCUGUACUGACGGUAACGAAAAAAUAAGCACCGGCUAGCUUCGUG